GCGGACUGCACACAAACCCAGUGCGACAAAACUAAGUCCGCGUUAGAAGUGCACAGUUUGGUGAAAUUAGAGGCAACGGAUUUGGCCUGAUUUCAAUUAAGAAACAUUCGUGAACCUCGUCGUGUCACAGCACUGACAAUACGUUUGCACGGCUGCUCUGGCGGCAUAAUUAAAUCUGGAGAAAAGGAAGAACCCAGCACGUAAAACGCUCGCCCGAGACCGUCGUACAGGGAACGUCGUGGAAAGCGAAACACCCUCUCGAAGCGGGCUAUCGCAGCAAAUCAGCAAGCAUCUCUGCUUUUCGGUAACGGUGGAGAAGUGAAUCGCCCAGAAAGAUCGUUCAACCGGACAAUAGAAGACCCCGCUAAGGGGUCUUUUUGUUUUAUACAUUCUUGCUUCUUGUUACCGUACCGUGACUGGGUGUUGCUUUGAGGCGCAAGCCUGCCGUGGUGCGUGGAUUGGUGAGUCAAAAACAACAACCGAUUAUCAGCGUGUGUUCGUGGUGUUAGAACGAUUGUGAGCGGUGAUCCGCGUUGGGACGGACGGACGGCAUAGCAUCGCAGUGAAAGCCGACGGACACCAAGAAGUGAGACUUCGGAAGUGUGGUGUUUGCCUCGAUGCGGCUAUCGAGUGAUCGUCGGUGGGUGGUCGCUGCGUCCAGAGUCUGCCUGGUAGCGGAACCAGACAACAUGAACGGCUCAGUGGCAAGCGGUGUGUCGUUGGCUCCGCGGAGCGUUACCGUGAGUACCUACCAUUAGUUUAAGAAAACGAUUGUAUGGGCCUCGAGCCAUAGAGUAGAGGAUAGGUCUUGAGGUCAGGAGUGAGAAUAGGCCACGAUGAAAAUGAAUAUAAGCUACGUUUAA